rnacentral:rRNA from 1 species
ACCCAACCUGAAAGGUAAAGCGCGCGCAGGCGGUUUCUUUAAGUCUGAUGUGAAAGCCCCCGGCUCAACCCGGGGAGGGUCAUUGGAAACUGGGGAACUUGAGUGCAGAAGAGGAGAGUGGAAUUCCACGUGUAGCGGUGAAAUGCGUAGAGAUGUGGAGGAACACCAGUGGCGAAGGCGACUCUCUGGUCUGUAACUGACGCUGAGGCGCGAAAGCGUGGGGAGCGAACAGGAUUAGAUACCCUGGUAGUCCACGCCGUAAACGAUGAGUGCUAAGUGUUAGAGGGUUUCCGCCCUUUAGUGCUGCAGCAAACGCAUUAAGCACUCCGCCUGGGGAGUACGGUCGCAAGACUGAAACUCAAAGGAAUUGACGGGGGCCCGCACAAGCGGUGGAGCAUGUGGUUUAAUUCGAAGCAACGCGAAGAACCUUACCAGGUCUUGACAUCCUCUGACAACCCUAGAGAUAGGGCUUCCCCUUCGGGGGCAGAGUGACAGGUGGUGCAUGGUUGUCGUCAGCUCGUGUCGUGAGAUGUUGGGUUAAGUCCCGCAACGAGCGCAACCCUUGAUCUUAGUUGCCAGCAUUCAGUUGGGCACUCUAAGGUGACUGCCGGUGACAAACCGGAGGAAGGUGGGGAUGACGUCAAAUCAUCAUGCCCCUUAUGACCUGGGCUACACACGUGCUACAAUGGGCAGAACAAAGGGCAGCGAAGCCGCGAGGCUAAGCCAAUCCCACAAAUCUGUUCUCAGUUCGGAUCGCAGUCUGCAACUCGACUGCGUGAAGCUGGAAUCGCUAGUAAUCGCGGAUCAGCAUGCCGCGGU